rnacentral:rRNA from 1 species
UACAGAGGGUGCGAACGUUAAUCGGAAUCACUGGGCGUAAAGCGCGUGUAGGCGGUUGGCCAAGUCGGGUGUGAAAGCCUUGAGCUCAACUCAAGAAAUGCACUCGGUACUGGGUGACUAGAGGACCGGAGAGGAUAGUGGAAUUCCCAGUGUAGUGGUGAAAUACGUAGAGAUUGGGAAGAACACCAGUGGCGAAGGCGGCUAUCUGGACGGUUUCUGACGCUAAGACGCGAAAGCGUGGGGAGCAAACAGG